rnacentral:tRNA from 1 species
GGUAGGAUGGCUGAGUCCAAGCGGCGGGCUGUAGUCCCGCAUACAGAGGUUCAAGCCCUCUUCUUAUCA